UACGUAGGGUGCGAGCGUUGUCCGGAAUUAUUGGGCGUAAAGAGCUCGUAGGCGGCUUGUCGCGUCGGAUGUGAAAGCCCGGGGCUUAACUCCGGGUCUGCAUUCGAUACGGGCAGGCUAGAGUUCGGUAGGGGAGAUCGGAAUUCCUGGUGUAGCGGUGAAAUGCGCAGAUAUCAGGAGGAACACCAAUAGCGAAGGCAGCUCGCUGGGACGGUACUGACGCUCAGGCGCGAAAGCGUGGGGAGCGAACAGG
rnacentral:rRNA from 1 species